rnacentral:rRNA from 1 species
CCUACGGGAGGCAGCAGUGAGGAAUAUUGGUCAAUGGGCGGAAGCCUGAACCAGCCAAGUCGCGUGCGGGAUGAAGGCUCUACGGGUCGUAAACCUCUUUUGCACGGGGAUAAAUCCCUCUACCUGUUCAAGUCUGCAGGUACCGUUCGAAUAAGGGCCGGCUAAUUCCGUGCCAGCAGCCGCGGUAAUACGGAGGGGCCGAGCGUUAUCCGGGUUUAUUGGGCUUAAAGGGUGGGUAGGCGGCAGUUUAAGUCCAGCGUGAAAUGCCGUGGGUCAACCCUGGAACCGCCGUUGAAACUGGGCGGCUUGAGUUCACAAGAGGCAGGCGGAAUGCGUGGUGUAGCGGUGAAAUGCAUAGAUAUCACGAGGAACCCCGAUGGCGAAGGCAGCCUGCCGGGGUGUGACUGACGCUGAGGCUCGAAAGCGUGGGGAUCAAACAGGAUUAGAUACCCGAGUAGUC